UAAAAGAGUAAAACAAAACAAAACAAACCUUCCUCACACUUCUUCUUGUUGGUUGCGCCACACACAUACUCUUCCUUCUUCUUCCUUCUUCUUCUUCCUUAUGAAU
rnacentral:ribozyme from 1 species